AACGAACGCUGGCGGCAUGCCUAACACAUGCAAGUCGAACGAGACCUUCGGGUCUAGUGGCGCACGGGUGCGUAACGCGUGGGAACCUGCCCUUAGGUUCGGAAUAACUCCCCGAAAGGGGUGCUAAUACCGGAUAAUGUCUUCGGACCAAAGAUUUAUCGCCUUUGGAUGGGCCCGCGUUGGAUUAGCUAGUUGGUAGGGUAAAAGCCUACCAAGGCGACGAUCCAUAGCUGGUCUGAGAGGAUGAUCAGCCACACUGGGACUGAGACACGGCCCAGACUCCUACGGGAGGCAGCAGUGGGGAAUAUUGGAAAAUGGGCGAAAGCCUGAUCCAGCAAUGCCGCGUGAGUGAUGAAGGCAUUAGGGUUGUAAAGCUCUUUUACCCGGGAUGAUAAUGACAGUACCGGGAGAAUAAGCUCCGGCUAACUACGUG
rnacentral:rRNA from 1 species